UCGACGAUGACUUUUGUGCUUGCACAGAAUGAUUAGUGGCGAACGGGUGAGUAACACGUGAGUAACCUGCCCCUGACUCUGGGAUAAGCCUGGGAAACUGGGUCUAAUACCGGAUAUGCACCGUGGACCGCAUGGUUUUUGGUGGAAAGAUUUUUUGGUCAGGGAUGGACUCGCGGCCUAUCAGCUUGUUGGUGAGGUAAUGGCUCACCAAGGCGACGACGGGUAGCCGGCCUGAGAGGGUGACCGGCCACACUGGGACUGAGACACGGCCCAGACUCCUACGGGAGGCAGCAGUGGGGAAUAUUGCACAAUGGGCGAAAGCCUGAUGCAGCGACGCCGCGUGAGGGAUGACGGCCUUCGGGUUGUAAACCUCUUUCAGUAGGGAAGAAGCGAAAGUGACGGUACCUGCAGAAGAAGCGCCGGCUAACUACGUGCCAGCAGCCGCGGUAAUACGUAGGGCGCAAGCGUUAUCCGGAAUUAUUGGGCGUAAAGAGCUCGUAGGCGGUUUGUCGCGUCUAUCGUGAAAGUCCGAGGCUCAACCUCGGAUCUGCGGUGGGUACGGGCAGACUAGAGUGAUGUAGGGGAGACUGGAAUUCCUGGUGUAGCGGUGAAAUGCGCAGAUAUCAGGAGGAACACCGAUGGCGAAGGCAGGUCUCUGGGCAUUAACUGACGCUGAGGAGCGAAAGCAUGGGGAGCGAACAGGAUUAGAUACCCUGGUAGUCCAUGCCGUANACGUUGGGCACUAGGUGUGGGGNACAUUCCACGUUUUCCGCGCCGUAGCUAACGCAUUAAGUGCCCCGCCUGGGGAG
rnacentral:rRNA from 1 species